CUCUCCACAAGGACCCAAGUCGGCCAGGGAGGAGCCGCCACUGCCCAGCGUUGUUGGGGGUCUCAGCCUAGACAUCAACUUUCCCUGAAGCCUUUCUUGAUGGCCAUAUCUGGGCCAGGUGCCCCAUCUGUGGGCUCUGGAAAAAUCCCCACUUGGACAUACAAAGAGAUUCUGAUGCGAAGAGUCACGGACAGAAGACAGUCAUGUACCAGCUAAGCAGAGAGGCCUGGAACAGGUAUCUCCCCCAGAAAGAACCAAC